CACUCAGUAUGAGGUGAUGCAAAAAGCUGUAGUGUGAGUGUGAAUUUGAAAAAAAAACUCCUUAAUUUGAAUCAUGAGCUCAUGAAAACUGUCCGGAAUAUGAAUCAAAAUAUCGUAUCGUAAUUAUUGGAAAUCUUUAUUUUUUCUACUUAAAUGUAGAAAGUUUGCUUCGCUAAAGUGAGUUAUACAGAGGUUUGACCGAUUGAAAUUGAAUAAGUAAGAAAAUAUGAAGUCCCAAAUAUGCCUUAAGUGUCCGUCAAUCGAAGCAAUACGCUCGAACGGUUCAGUAAGAGGGUUUCGUCUGCCUAGCAUAGCGGUAUUCAAGUGAGCUCAAAGAUCCUUCGCUUCUGUCCGCGCUGACCAGCGUAAGCCUUAAAAUACACAACAAAGAACCACUUAACUGUUGCUCGUAAAAGCUAAGCACAUGCAGCACAGGCACACCGGUCAGCUAAUGGCUUUGUUGCUCUUUGUUCUAUUAUUAAUUGCGUUGGUUUUGCCGGUUCUUGGUAGUAUUUGUACGGUUUUAGCUCCACAGCUUUGGUCCUUCCAGACGGUGAAGACAGCUUUUUGCAGCUUCCCUCUCAACGCGCUUUUCGGAAGA